UUCUUUUAAUGUGGGUCAUUGCUCUUUUAUUCCAGGGGACUUCCUAGCAGCAGAUUAAUACAGUCUGGCUCCGGGGGCCCCUGCAAUAGUAUUAAAUACUGUGUUACGGAAAAUGUUUCACAUACUGGCAAGCUAUUAUGCAGCUUUAUAUUCCACUCUACUCCCCUGAAUAUGGCACCCUCAAGAUCCUCUCCCAGAGACGCUCCUGAUUCCUGCUGGGGGCUCCAGAAUGUUAACGGCACCACUGAGUUGUCUUACUUUGAGUCAAGAGGGGUGAGCGUUUAUAUCAGUCAGUCAUGGAUUGCAUACUACCUCCUGUGGACAAAGGGAAUUCUGAAGCCAUUAGCCAAGAUUCUUAGCAGUUAAGGUCAGCGAAGGGAUAUCACCUACAGGGCAAAGAAGCUCUUAUCAAGAGCAAGGCUAGAUCAACACUGGGGCAAAGAGAGCUGAAAAAGGAAAGGUAAAUGCAGUGAGAGAGUCCCCCCACCCCACCACCACCAAAUUUCAGUUAAAAGGGAGUCUUAAAGGAAGGCUACUUACUUCUAGGAUUAUCUUCUGUAGAUUUCCAAACUUCUUGACACUUUACAGAGCUCUAGCCUUUCCUAGUUGAGUUGGUUUCAUUUAGCUAUCCGGUGGAGCUCCCUUUCUGUGGGGGAAUUUGUUCAUGUUGACCUAAGGGCACACAGCUGCCGUCAGCUUCUGGGGCAUAGGCUCUGCGUACAAAGCAACUCUGUAUUGUGGAACUUCUCCACACAUGUCUGCACACAGGAGUUCUGUCAUUAACAGGGUUCCGGUCACCCGGUGGAAUGCACAAAGGGCAGGGAAAAUGGCUUCUUUCUCAAAAGCUUUCUUUUUAUAAGCCUUGGCUCCCUGACAACUGGAAUUUUCUUUUAUAGCUGAAAAAACAUAUUUCUGUUAAACACCACCCAAGGGGUCAUAUGUCCUCAAGGUCAAACAGAUGAGAC
rnacentral:lncRNA from 13 species